rnacentral:rRNA from 1 species
ACGGAAGGCAGCAGUGGGGGAUAUUGCACAAUGGAGGAAACUCUGAUGCAGCAACGCCGCGUGAGGGAAGAAGGUCUUCGGAUUGUAAACCUCUGUUUUUAGUGAAGAACAAAUGACGGUAGCUAAAGAGGAAGCCACGGCUAACUACGUGCCAGCAGCCGCGGUAAUACGUAGGUGGCAAGCGUUAUCCGGAUUUACUGGGUGUAAAGGGCGCGUAGGCGGGGAUGCAAGUCAGAUGUGAAAUCUGUGGGCUUAACUCAUAAACUGCAUUUGAAACUGUAUCUCUUGAGUGCUGGAGAGGUAGACGGAAUUCCUUGUGUAGCGGUGAAAUGCGUAGAUAUAAGGAAGAACACCAGUGGCGAAGGCGGUCUACUGGACAGUAACUGACGCUGAGGCGCGAAAGCGUGGGGAGCAAACAGGAUUAGAUACCCUGGUA